AUUGAACGCUGGCGGCGUGCCUAACACAUGCAAGUCGAGCGGUAACAGGUGUAGCAAUACAUGCUGACGAGCGGCGAACGGGUGAGUAAUGCUUCGGAAUCUACCUUAUGGUGGGGAAUAACUAGCCGAAAGGUUAGCUAAUACCGCAUACGUCCUACGGGAGAAAGCAGGGGAUCGCAAGACCUUGCGCCAAAAGAUGAGCCGAAGUCGGAUUAGCUAGUUGGUAGGGUAACGGCCUACCAAGGCGACGAGCCGUAGCUGGUCUUCGAGGACGACCAGCCAAACUUGGACUGAGACACGGCCCAGACUCCUACGGGAGGCAGCAGUGGGGAAUAUUGGACAAUGGGGGAAACCCUGAUCCAGCGACGCCGCGUGUGUGAAGAAGGCCUGCGGGUUGUAAAGCACUUUUAGUGGGGAUGAAAUGUGCAGGGUUAAUACCUCUGCAUUUUGACCUAACCCACAGAAAAAGCACCGGCUAACUCUGUGCCAGCCGCCGCGGUAA
rnacentral:rRNA from 1 species